GUUGAAAUAGUCGCUUCUUAUCACAAUUUUUAUGUAACAUUUUUUUGGGAGCUUCUUCAGAACAAACAAGUUAGUUCAUUCAGUAUUUGGACAGCGUACAGUAAAGACAACUUUAGCACACAAACAAAUUGUUGCGAUAACACACCAAGCAUCGCACGAAUAAAAUUAUAUUCAAAAAUAAUUGUAUGAACUUUCUGGAGACGCCACCAAUUUGAAUUGACAAGUCAUCGUUCAGCCGUAUAAUAACAUGGUAAAUCAGUGGAGUGUGUACCAAUGCAGUAACUGUUUAAGUUUCGCACGCAGUUGUUCAUGGGCUGCAGAUCAACAAUCUAUUCAUCGCGUUCGAACCAAACAAUAGCGAUUGUACAAAUGAUGAUACUUUGUCCGAAAUUUUAAUCAUAAUUUUCUGAAAUUUUAUGGACGAAGCAUUAUCAUUGGAUCUAAGUGUGGUUAAAAUAAAGUGUAAAAAAUGUAUGUCUA